rnacentral:lncRNA from 1 species
GAAGACAUUUAUGCAGCCAACAGACACAUGAAAAAAGGCUCAUCGUCACUAGUCAUCAGAGAAAUGCAAAUCAAAACCACAAUGAGAUACCAUCUCACGCCAGUUAGAAUGGCAAUCAUUAAUAAGUCAGGAAACAACAGAUGCUGGAAAGGAUGUGGAGAAAUAGGAACAAUUUUACACUGUUGGAAUAUCAAUAAAAUCUCUCAAAAUUACACAAAUAUAUUAAAAUUAAACAAUUUACUCCUGAAUAACUAACUCUUCAGAGAACAUAAAAAUUAAGGCAGAAAUAAAAAAUUCAUUGGAAUUAAUGAAAAUAAGGACAAAACUUAUCAAAAUCUCUGGGAUGUAGCUAAAGCAGUGGUAAGAGAAAAGCUUAUAGC